GUGGAAGGCCGGAGUGCGGGCCGUGAGGGGUGUGCGCGCUUGAGCCGGAGCGGGGCUCGCCCCUCGUCGGCUCCCGCCGCCCAGCCGGUGAUCGCUCUCCGGCCGUCCCCGGCACCCUCGGCCCCCCACGGCGGUUGGUCCGGGCGGGGGAAGGAGAAAGUGAGACUCGGUGUCAUCACCAAUCCGUCGCCAGAAGGGGAGGAAACUGGAAUCCAGCAGCGGCGAGCAGCAGCUGGGCGGAUUUAUUUAAUGGGGAUGUGUUCAAGGCAAGACCGAAUUCAGAAGGAUAUCGACGUCGUGAUCCAGAAGUCCAGAGCUGAGGACUGCCUGUUUGCAGAUACUGUACAGGACAACCUGCUUUUCAUAUUCUCUGUGAAUUUCAAAGACGACUGGGAUUUUCUUCCUCCUCUACCACCCUGAACAGCAAGACCAAUACAUCCUGUAUUUCCUCCUCUUCAGCCUACUUGUGAAGACAAGGAUGAAGACCUCCAUGAUGAGCCAUCUCCACUUAAUGACUGUCUCACAUUGGCCGGCAACUUGUUCCAGGAACUUCCAUGGAACUUGAGCCUUCACGCAGCAUAUUUUGGCAUCUGAUUCAAAGCUAAUAGAGGUCCGGAGGAUUCCCAGGAUUAAAGUCUUUAAACAGAAAGUGUGAAUCUUGCCUAAGCAAAAGGUGCCAUCCCUGGAUGGGCUUGCACCACCAACCUUUCAGUUAACAGUCAAACGCGCUAACCGAUUGCGCCACAGAGACUCCAAUGGCUUGUGUCUUAAACUCAUUUGCUGAUACCAGAAAUGGCUUUUUAACCUCUGGCUGCAGAUAAUCUCAUGUAUUUGAUGCCUGUCCAAUCCCGCGCACUCCAGAAACCCAUAAUACGGGAGACAAUGAAGCCAAGAGUCGAGUCUUUGGGCACUUUGGACGUUCUACUCUGGCAGAGUCAGCUGGGGGACUCCAACGGCCAAAGGUCCACCUGCUCCUCACCGUCUGCUCUUCACUGCUUCCUCCGCCUGCUCUUCACCGUCUCAAAAGUCGCCGGCCCCUCUACAGGCGACAACUGCAGCUUCUCAGGCGAAAGUCACUCUCUUUCCCAUUCUUAGCCCCGCUCACACCUUGCACUCACAGUCAUUUCUGCCAGGCCUGGGCCAGCAGACGCGCGCGUGGGAAGGACCAGAACCCGUGGUGUCCUCACUGCGUCCCCCUCGGGUCCUCAGAGGUGGGAUCCACAGGAAAGGGACCUGGAGUUUGCACAGGCUGCAGCCCUUCGCCCAGAGCCACCCUAGCACCUAGUAGGUGCCCAAUAAAUGCUCGGUGAAGGAAGGCAUUCCACCGCAGGGUUUUAGGAGAACCAUGAAUUCCCAGGUGAAAAUUAAGGGUUUAGUCCUACUAAGAAGUCUGGAAUAUAGAGACCUGAACUGUUUCUCAAAGGCAGCUGUUCUUGUAUCCCCAGAGCCGGUUUAGAAUCCAGCAAAGGCCCCUGCCCAGUGGAUCCCACCUCUGGAGACCCGAGGAUAGUGCGGUGGGGGGCACCGCGGGUUCUGGUCUUUCCCACGCUCACGUCCACCGGCCCAGGCCCAAAGGAAAUGGCUGUGAGAGCAAGAUGUAAAGAUAGUUACAAAUACCAGCUAGGGCCAGUGACAGUUGCAGAAAUGAGGACUUGUAAUAGUUAG
rnacentral:tRNA from 1 species